GCCGACGCCGCUCAGGGCCGCUCGCGCUACACGCGUGCCGCCUCGUGCCUUUCCCGUGCUCGCACACGCUCGCCCGUGCCGCCUUAUACCAGCCACGCGCCGAUCUCCGAUAGCCGUUGCGCGAAUCUUAGCGAGAGGCUAUUCUCCCUUCCUUUUUCUCCUUCUUCUUUCUCUGGAAACACCGAGCACUCAAGCUCAUCCCUGCCCUCAAACCUCUCCAAACUGCUGCCAAGGUCACUGGCCAAAUCCACCGUCGCCGGCCCUUUUUCUGCCACAACAGCACACCAUCAACUUUUCCGCUCAUCGAUCGCGUUGAAGAUCCCACUGGACUCGCAGGAACUGAAGUGGACCAAGAAGGCUACGUUGAAGCUUCCGAAGGCCACGUUCCACGAGGCAAGCCACAGUCUGGGGUGGACAUGUGGAAGGGGCUUUGGCCAGGUUGACAUGAUCCACAACGGUGGAACCCGUGAAAGCAGCGACCACGAUCAGUUCUUCCCUGAGGAGGCGCAGGAAGGGGAAGAAUUCUAUGGUGUAGACGAGUUCUUGUUCUAG
rnacentral:lncRNA from 1 species